rnacentral:lncRNA from 1 species
GUGGUGUCCCUGGGCAAUUUGAGACGAGUGGAGACUUGAGACGUCGCGAGCGAUUGGCCACUCUUGUGUGUGUGGCGGGGUAAUGAGUUGAAUUAGUGCAGUGUCAGCAUAAGGCUGCCAUAUGCCGGGAGGAGACAGUUAAGAGACUCUAAGUGUUGGGGGAUCAGUAGUGAUCGCACCAGUUCCGGCUCGUUAAGUACGGCCGGGAGUCGCGACGAAGGUGUGGUGGACAGGCGUCGAGUGGAAUCGACUGCCUGGUCUCCCUCCUGUGGUUUGGGAUGAGUUUCGGGGAUCGGUAUUCUCUGUUUACUCCCCUGAUGGUGGAAAAGAAAGCUUCAGGAAAGGUUCUCGAAGCUGCGGCAGGUAGAUCGCGCCGUGAGGGAAUACGAGCGGGAAUUCUCCCGUGUCGUGAAUUUCAUCCCGGACAUAGUGCGGGAUAAUGAGAACGAAACUCCUUUUAGGAGGGGAGAAUGUAACAUACCAAAAUUUCGGUAAAUAAACAUCAAACUUUAGUCAAAUUGACCAAAGUGCGC